rnacentral:rRNA from 1 species
AGUGAACGCUGGCGGUAGGCCUAACACAUGCAAGUCGAACGGCAGCACAGUAAGAGCGUGCUUUUACGGGUGGCGAGUGGCGGAUGGGUGAGGAAUACAUCGGCAUCUACUUUUUCGUGGGGGACAACGUAGGGACACUUACGCUAAUACCGAAUACGAUCUACGGGUGAAAGCAGUGGAUCUUCGGACUUUGCGCGAUUCAUAUAGCCGAUGUCGGAUUAGCUAGUUGGCGAGGUAAAGGCACACCAAGGCGACGAUCCGUAGCUGGUCUGAGAGGAUGAUCGGCCACACUGGAACUGAGACACGGUCCAGACUCCUACGGGAGGCAGCAGUGGGGAAUAUUCGGCAAUGGGCGCAAGCCUGAUCCAGCCAUACCGCGUGGGUGAGGAAGGCCUUCGGGUUGUAAAGCCCUUUUGUUAGGGAAGAAAAACAGCGGAUGAAAACCUCGAUGUUCUGACGGUACCCAAUGAAUAAGCACCGGCUAACUUCGUG